GCCGGACACAGUGGCGCGCGCCUGUAGUCCCAGCUACUCGGGAGGCUGAGAUGGGAGGAUCGCUUGAGCCCAGGAGUUCUGGGCUGUAGUGCUAUGCUGAUCAGGUGUCCGCACUAAGUUCGGCAUCAAUAUGGUGACCUCCCCGGGAGCGGGGGACCACCAGGUUGCCUAAGGAGGGGUGAACCGGCCCAGGUCGGAAACGGAGCAGGUCAAAACUCCUGUGCUGAUCAGUAGUGGGAUCGCGCCUGUGAAUAGCCACUGCACUCCAGCCUGGGCAACAUAGCAAGACCCCGUCUCU
rnacentral:SRP_RNA from 1 species